GCUGUUGAAAAUAAACCACAGUAGCAAUGACAGAACGAUUAGUGCUAUUUGUGUUUCAAUUCCUGAGGUUGUUUAUCACACUCAUUUUAAAGUUAAAAAAAUACUGUUACAAUAGAUUGCCAAUUCUUAUUCUCUGUACAUGAUGUUGGAAAAUGUCAGUUUCAAGUGUUAAACAGCAGCAGUAUAACCAAUGUUUA